rnacentral:piRNA from 1 species
UAAACAGUUGCACCCAGAAGCUAGCCUUA